GGGGACUUAACUCAGUGGUAGAGUGUUUGCUUCGCAAGCAAAAAGUCGCGAGUUCAAUCCUCGCAGUCUCCA
rfam:Parastrongyloides trichosuri strain KNP genome assembly, scaffold: PTRK_scaffold0000017